rnacentral:rRNA from 1 species
CCUACGGGAGGCAGCAGUGAGGAAUAUUGGUCAAUGGGCGGAAGCCUGAACCAGCCAAGUAGCGUGCAGGAUGACGGCCCUACGGGUUGUAAACUUCUUUUAUAUGGGAAUAAAACAGGGUAUGCAUACCCUCUUGUAUGUACCAUAUGAAUAAGGAUCGGCUAACUCCGUGCCAGCAGCCGCGGUAAUACGGAGGAUCCGAGCGUUAUCCGGAUUUAUUGGGUUUAAAGGGAGCGUAGGUGGAUUGUUAAGUCAGUUGUGAAAGUUUGCGGCUCAACCGUAAAAUUGCAGUUGAAACUGGCAGUCUUGAGUGAGCGAGAAGUAUGCGGAAUGCGUGGUGUAGCGGUGAAAUGCAUAGAUAUCACGCAGAACUCCGAUUGCGAAGGCAGCAUACCGGCGCUCAACUGACGCUCAUGCACGAAAGUGUGGGUAUCGAACAGGAUUAGAUACCCCAGUAGUC